AGCAGCCAGCCAGAGUGAAGGAGGAGAUGGAGACCUCAGUUCACCACCAACCAAACGCUCCACCAGCCAGACAGAGCAGGGAGCUAUUGUCUCUGACACUGAUAUUCACUCCUGUGUGUUUGCACCCACUCACCUAUUCAUGCACACAUAUGCAAUGUCGCCCACUGAGAAGAAUGAGUGUUAAAUUUAGGACUUUAUGAUUUUAUAAAAAAUGGUGCAUUACUCCUGAACAUGUUUUUAUUCACUAUCUACUACUACUACUUCUUCUACCACUACUACUACUGCUGCUGCUACUACUACUACUACUACUGUUACUGCUGCUAGUACUACUACAACUGCUACUACUACUACUACUGCUAGUACUACUGCUACUACAACUGCUGCUACUACUACNNNNNNNNNNACAUGCAUACUAACAACUACUGGUAGCUCACAUGCACACUAACAACUACUGGUAGUUCACAUGCAUACUAACAACUACUGGUAGCUCACAUGCAUACUAACAACUACUGGUAGCUCACAUGCAUACUAACAACUACUGGUAGCUCACAUGCAUACUAACAACUACUGGUAGCUCACAUGCAUACUAACAACUACUGGUAGCUCACAUGCAUACUAACAACUACUGGAAGCUCACAAGAAAAUAAAACCAAAACAACGUAAAUUACUUCUCUAACUCUGUUAAAAUGUUGUUAAUCUCACAAUCUUGUGUUUUUGUUUUGCAUUAGGUUGCAUCAUAUUAGAUUAUUAAUUGGUCAUUUAUAACCUCAUACGUCAUUGACAGCUUGUCAUCAUGACUAACUCUGAGUCACAGCAUUAGCAGGAGAACCAUGUGUGCUGGUAUGGGAUGAAUAAACCCCAUCUACAGCUCCUCUGUCUGUCUGUCUGUCUGUCUGUCUGUUUGUCUGUCUGGUUUACCAAUUAUAGUCUUCACACCAACGUGCAGUGUUGGGAAAUAUUUUUUCAUGUUGAAUUAUGUGCACCUAACACUCUGCUAAGAGGUUACAAAUGUAUCGUAUUGAUAAAAGAACGCCAGUUCCGAUUAUUUGAAGCAGCUUUGGAUAGAAAACGCGCCAUUUAGGAUGCACCUGCGGUGAUGCUGGUAGUGCAUCUGGUGUUUAUUUUCAGGCAAAAGUCGCAUGGCAACAGAAUUUAUCCAUCUAUCACACGAACUUGGACACAGACCGCUCCCUGCUAACUGGCCAACAGUUUGGUAAAACAUUUAUGUAUUUUAUGAAAGUCGGGUUUUGCGGAGGUUUAAACAAUAUUUAGGCCUAUAACUUUGCCGGUUGAAGCGGUUGGCCUUAAAGUCAAAACGUGUGGAAAAAUGAUAAAAAAAAUCAAUGGCAAUAAAAUAAAUCAUUUUAUUGCCUAAACAUUUAUUGUCUGAAUUUCGCUAAAGAUACCUUUGUAUAAACUAUACUGUAACAGUAGUCCUGUGCCUGACCUACAUUUAUUGAAUAUUUUCGUAUAAAACAAUUGUUUAUUUAUGACAAUAAAUAAG
rnacentral:lncRNA from 13 species